UACGUAGGGGGCAAGCGUUGUCCGGAAUCAUUGGGCGUAAAGAGCGUGUAGGCGGCUCGGUAAGUCCGCUCUGAAAGCCCGGGGCUCAACCCCGGGAGGCGGGCGGAUACUGUCGGGCUAGAGUCCGGAAGAGGCGAGUGGAAUUCCUGGUGUAGCGGUGAAAUGCGCAGAUAUCAGGAGGAACACCAGCGGCGAAGGCGGCACUCUGGGCUGGAACUGACGCUGAGGAGCGAAAGCGUGGGUAGCAAACAGG
rnacentral:rRNA from 1 species